AUGAAAACCCGCUGAAUUUAAGCAUAUAAGUAGGCGGUGGAACUGAAACAAACUUGGAUUCCUCAAGUAGUUGCGAAUGAAAGAGAAAGGGGCUCAGCAUGAUAUACAUGGGCUCUGCCUUUGACAUGAAGACUUUGAUGGUGUGCCAAUGGGAGGGGGUUGGAGAGUGAAUCUUGUCUUGGAAGAGGGGUGUGCAAGUGGUAGCGAGAGUGAUAAACCUUUGGCACUUGAUAUGUCUUCCUGCACGGUGCCUUGUUGAGAGUCAUGCUUCUUGAAAGUGGAGUGCAAAGUGGGUGGUAGUCCUCACGCAAAGCCAGAUACCGCACUGGGGCCGACAGUUUAAAAGUACCGUGAGGGAAGUGUGAAAAGGACUUUGGAAAGAGAAUUAGAGGAGCUUGAGUUUGCUGAACUGCAAGCACUCAGGGUGGGAGAGUUUGGAAAGGUUUCAAUAUGUGACUUGGGAUCAUGGUUGCCCUUUCGUGGUUGCCCUUUCGUGCAAAGGUUCUGGGGCACAUGCUGGGAUGACAUGUGUGUGCCUCUCCUUGGGUGUCAGCCCAAAGUGGCCGCAGUCAAUGGUAGCUGGCAGUGUUGGGACAUCUUUGUUCUGGUGGCUGUUGCUGCCCCGUUUCUGAACGUGUUUGGGUAAUGCUGAGUCAGGGGGGGGGGGGGGGAGUGAUUGUGCCUCACAGUGCAUGGAGGUAUGUUCUGCCCGGCAGUGCAUCUUCUGUCACCUCCACCUGUGUGACCCGUCUUGAAACACGGACCAAGGAGUCUAUCAACUCUGCAAGGCAAAAAAUGUGUUUUGUACAACUCAUUGUCAAUGAAAGUGGAGUUCCAGAUCUGUGCAUGAGUGUUCUACCAAUCAAGAGGUUGAGGUUUGAGUCUGAGCAUGGCUGCUAGGACCCGAAAGAUGGUGAACUAUGCCUGACAAGGGUCAAGGCAGGGGAAACUCUGAUGGAGGUCCGCAGCGUUACUGACGUGCAAAUCGUUCGUCGCAUUUGGGUAUAGGGGCGAAAGACUAAUCGAACCUUC
rnacentral:rRNA from 1 species